AUUGAACGCUGGCGGCAUGCCUUACACAUGCAAGUCGAACGGCAGCACGGGGGGUAACCCCUGGUGGCGAGUGGCGAACGGGUGAGUAAUAUAUCGGAACGUGUCCUGUAGCGGGGGAUAACCUAUCGAAAGAUGGACUAAUACCGCAUACGACCUACGGGUGAAAGCGGAGGACCGCAAGGCUUCGCACUAUAGGAGCGGCCGAUAUCGGAUUAGCUAGUUGGCGGGGUAACGGCCCACCAAGGCGACGAUCCGUAGCUGGUCUGAGAGGACGAUCAGCCACACUGGAUCUGAGACACGGUCCAGACUCCUACGGGAGGCAGCAGUGGGGAAUUUUGGACAAUGGGCGCAAGCCUGAUCCAGCCAUGCCGCGUGAGUGAAGAAGGCCUUCGGGUUGUAAAGCUCUUUCGGCGGGGACGAAACGGUUCGUGCUAAUACCACGGACUACUGACGGUACCCGCAGAAGAAGCACCGGCUAACUACGUG
rnacentral:rRNA from 1 species